UUUUCUUUUUCCAACUAAACUCUGAUUCCUUUCAGCCAUGGCAGAACGCCUCUUUCCAUUUUUAGGGUAAUAUCUGCUCAAUCACGUGAGGAUUAAGUAGACCCUAGCUCCAACAUUUGAAUUUCAAACGUUCAAUAUCAAAACUAUAAUUCCCGCCCAAGGAGAUAGCCCUAGCACUUUUCUCCUAUAAAUAUGACCUUGUCUUUUAACAAAGGACCAGGCAUGAACACUCACAAAAGGGGCUUUUGCACUAGCAAGAACGUCAACUACAUCUUCAAAAUUACUUAGAUACUGUCAUCCACUUGUGUCCUAUAAACUAUCUCUUAGUAGAUUCAUUUGGUUCGAUCUAGACUCUCUUUGAUAGAUUCAGUUGGUUCGAUCUGUUCUUGAGAGAGUAGAUUCAAGGCCAACGAUCCCUAGUUCACUGCCCACCAGAAGAAUGAAUCAUUAUUAAGCUUUCAAACUUUGAUACAAUGAAAGAUGUGCCUUAGCAAUGUCGGCAAUAUGAAGAAAGUCGAGACAUGACGACGAUUUGAACUUAGCCUAUUAGGAUUAUUUAUGUUGUAUUUUAUUUAAUAGCUACAAGCUAUUCAUGUACUUCAAUUUUUUUUAUAAACAUAUUAAAGUUUAAUUGAUCAAAGAGUAAUGGAAUGACAUAUAAGGGCACAUUUCAUCCUUCAAUUAUCGUUAGGCCAACCUCCAGCAUAAAAGAGGUCCCAUACAUAUUAGGAUGCGUCAUUGUUACUUGAUGUAUUUGUCUACAUAAUUUACUUGACUUUACUUGACAA